rnacentral:rRNA from 1 species
UACAGAGGAGCCAAGCGUUGUCCGGAUUGACUGGGCGUAAAGCGCACGCAGGCGGUGGUGCGCGUGGGGUGUGAAAUCUGGCCGCUUAACGGCCAGGCGCCAUCCCAUACGGCACGACUGGAGGGCUGCAGAGGUCGAUGGAAUUGCCGGUGUAGUGGUGAAAUGCGUAGAGAUCGGCAGGAACACCCAGGGGGAAACCAGUCGACUGGACAGUUCCUGACACUGAGGCACGAAGGCCAGGGGAGCAAACGGG